AUGGCGGCCUCCUCCCACUCCGCCGUCAUCUUGGUGCUGCUGUUCCUCCUCCUCGUCGUGGCGUUCGUGCCCGCACCGGCAGCAGCAGUGAGCCCCUCCAAGCGCCCCACCCAUCAGCCUCCCUCUUUCCCUGCCGGAAUCUCUACCCUGCGGCAGCUGGCUGCAAGCUCGAGCAGCGGGUACGCCACUGCGGCGAAGCCGUUCACGGCGCAGUACUUCCUGCAGGAGCUGGACCACUUCACCUUCACGCCCAACUCCUCCCGCGUCUUCUCCCAGAAGUACCUCCUCAACGACACCUUCUGGCGGCGGAAGCCCACCGUCGGGCCGCUGUUUGUGUACAUGGGCGGCGAGGCCAACAUUGAGUGGUUGGCCACCACCACCGGCUUCAUGUUCGACAUCGCGCCAGAGUUCGGGGCUCUCAUCGUCUUCAUCGAGGUAACCAUCUUUUGCCACAUCCUCCGCCAUGGCUGA
rnacentral:rRNA from 1 species